UUAUGUUCUGUGCUUAAAGCUCUAAGUGUUUCUUGAGAAUCUAAUGGAAAACUAUGGAGAAAUUGGCUUUUUAAAAACUAAUCUAUGUCUGUGUAUGUAUAAAGGAGAUUGAGUUUUGUAGAGAAAUUUGUCUCAUAAAUAAACUUGAGUUUCCCUUACCCUCAUGAAAAUCUUGAGAUGAUCCAAGGAAUAAGAAAAACAGAAAAAUUCACAGUACAAAGUUAACAUACUAAAUUGAGGGAAAAAAGGUAUUCAAAACAUAUACAUUAUCCAAACAUUUUUAGUUAUAUCUUUAAAUAUCUUUAAAAUUAAAGAGAAAAAGGAGACAAACAUAACCUUGUGAAUGUCUUCUUUAUCUACAAUCUGAGGGGUGAAAAUAGCUAAAACCGAAUAUCCUUUUAAAUAAAAAAUUUAAAAAUAAAUAAGCUCUUUGAUGUGUCAUCUUUAUAACUAAUUAUGUUUAAAUACUAGUUUUUCAAUUAAGACUAAUAUCACCAUGAAUUAGAAAAAAUACAUAUUUUUCAGUCAGACAAACAGUUGAUAAUAGAAAAGUUUUUUAAUGUGUACCAUUCGAAAGUGGAUUUGUUUUCACAUACAGUCAGCGUCCCUUAACUAUAUGUUCUAAGAGGUGCCUUGUUAGGUGAUCUUCUGCAAACCUCUACCGUGGGAUACUAUGCAGAAUACUGUAGGCAGCUGUAACGCAGUAGUAAGCAUCUGUGUGGCUAAACAUACCUAAACUUAAAAAGCAAUGCACUGUUAUCAUGGUCAUAAUGUCACUAGGCGAAAGGAAUACUUUAUCUCCAUUUUAAUUGUAUGGGACCACUGUGAUAUAUGUGGUCCAUCACUGACUUAAAUAACAUUAUUCUGUACUGAGAAGCAACUGAAAAGGCUUUCAUCCUCAUCAUCUCCUCCUAAAAAUAAAAA